rnacentral:lncRNA from 1 species
GAUGUAUUUACACUGAAGAGAGAUCGCCAGCGAUGUUUUUGCGAUGGAGAGAGCCGGUGACAUAGUUGCAUCGAGAGAGAGCUGACCAUAUAUUUGUGAUGGAAAGAGAGAUAGACUGGACUAUUUAUGUCGGAGAAAAGCGGAGAAGAAGUUUAUUUCGAAGAGAAAAAGGGGGAGAGAGGGAGAAAGAAGGAGAUUUUGCCAGUGAG